AUCCAGCCGACGAGUCUCAUAUAGGACGAAACGUGCAUUAUGGAU
rfam:Schistosoma curassoni strain Dakar, Senegal genome assembly, scaffold: SCTD_contig0001184